rnacentral:rRNA from 1 species
UGGCGGCGAGCGGCGAACGGGUGAGUAACAUAUACGGAACCGUACCCAGUCGGUGGGGGAUAACUAUACCGAAAGGAUAGCUAAUACCGCAUACGACCGAGGGUGAAAGCGGGGACCGAAAGGCCUCGCGCGAUUGGAGCGGCCGAUAUCGGAUUAGCUAGUUGGUGAGGUAAAGGCUCACCAAGGCGACGAUCCGUAGCUGGUCUGAGAGGACGACCAGCCACACUGGAACUGAGACACGGUCCAGACUCCUACGGGAGGCAGCAGUGGGGAAUUUUGGACAAUGGGGGCAACCCUGAUCCAGCCAUUCCGCGUGAGUGAAGAAGGCCUUCGGGUUGUAAAGCUCUUUCAGCAGGAACGAAACGGUGGUCCCUAAUACGGGCUACUAAUGACGGUACCUGAAGAAGAAGCACCGGCUAACUACGUGCCAGCAGCCGCGGUAAUACGUAGGGUGCGAGCGUUAAUCGGAAUUACUGGG